UAUUAUAACAACAAAUGUAGAAUGGGAUGUUCAGAAAGCAUAUGUAAACAAACUUUUGUCCAUAGAAUGUAUAUUAAAUUACCCUUUUAUACAAAUAGUUGCUUUUGAAACAUUUAUGACAGGUAGAUGCAAAGAUGCUCAUCCUUGAGUUCUACAUUAGAGUCUAUAUUUAGGCAAAUUUUUCAGACAGAUUUAGAAACCAUGAAGAUGGAUUUAGAUUGUAAUUAAUAUAGAAAGCUUGCUAUAGUUGCUUAAGGUGACAUUUGCCAUGGACAGUACAAUUAAGUACAAUCAAGUGUACCUCAGUGAACAGUUAAUAACCUUGUCAAUGAUAGAAUUAUAAUGAAUAGACAUUCAGCUUCAUCCAGCUUGAGGAUGGGUUCCCUUUUUAAUCUGGAUCCUCUCAAGAUUUCUUCCUCAUACCAUUUUAAGGAGUUUUUUCUUGCCUCUGUUACCAGUGUCUUGUUUAUUAGGGAUGAACGUAUAGGCACUUAUGACGCUGAAAUUCUAUUUCAUUCUAAAAACUGCUGUGGUACAAUGUAUAAAAUAAAAAGUGCUAUUCAAAUAAAAUUAAAUUGAGUUCAUAGCUAUAGGGUAGUAUUGUUUCCCCACAUUGAUAAACCUGGUUUCAUGCGUCAAAUUGAAAACACUGGAUGCCAAACUAAGCCUAUUUGAUUGCUAUAAGUCCUCAGCCAAAUGAGAGAAGACGAGACCUCUUCGAUUUCUAACUCUGAAGGUCCAAAUAAAAAUUGAAUGCAUCAAAAAUCAUUUCUUGUCUUGGAAAUAUAAUACAAUAUGAGUACAAGAAGUCCGUUCUAAUAAUGCUCAAGUAGAAAUAUGCCAAAAUAAUGUUUAAGUAGAGUAUAAAGGACAAUCAUUUAGGUAUUGUGGGGAACAAAUUGAAGGGAUUAGUCUAUAAUUGUGGAUUUGAUUCCGAUUUCCUGACAAGAUGUUUGGAAGAGAAACAAAACGAAGAUGUUCCUGAGAGAAUCUGGCAAAAAUGCAGCCUCUGAACUUCAUCAAGUGUCACUGGAAUUGUGUAGUGUAGUUGAUCUUUUUGACCAUAUGCAUUUCUCUGUGUGUGUGUGUGUGUGUGUGUGUGUGUGUGUGUGUGUGUGUGUGUGUGUGUGAUGGGUCAAAUGCAUUACAAAGCAGAUGCAAUCAAAGUUGUGCAAACCACACAAUGUGUCUAGAAAAACAAUUUCUAUAGAAAGUUGGUGUGAGCGUGUUUGUGUUUUACACCACAUACACUCCUCCUGUACACAACUAUUAGUGGAUCAGGUAUCCAUUUUCACACUGAAAUGUUCCUCAUGUGGUACUAACCCUUAUAUCCAAUAACAGGCAGGGUCAAAGGAGAAGUCAGAGGUCUCAGGACUUGCAAGUCAUCAUUCCCAUAGGAUCUCUGUGUGUGUGUGUGUGUGUGUGUAUGUGUGUGUGUAUGAAUGUCCACAAGGGAGUCACUCUGAGCUAUUUGCAGUCUUAUCGUGUUGUAUGUCUAAAGAGCUGACCAACUUCGCUCCAAGCCAAGCACUGCUAACCUCUAACCCCUGUGUUAAAGCAAAAACAGAUGCCUUUAAACUGACUCAUAUCCGGCCCUUAAAUAAACUGCAGAGGAAUUUUUCACCCCUCUGCUCUUCACACCCAUUUUCAUCAUCUCACUUCCUUUUUUCUUCUUAAUUCAGACUCAUUUCGAGUUUUUGUUCAGAAGGUUCAUUAAUUACACUGACUGUAAGUUCGAGAUCCUGUUUUCUGGGUGGAAGAAGGAAGAAAGAAGUUUGGUUAUAAUAUGACCCAUGCAGAAGCAGCCUAACAGCACGGCCUGUCAACAGCAGUGUUCUCUUGGCAAGAUGGUGGGAAUGUCUGCUCUUGGGGGAUGGGCCAAGAGAAAUGAGCAAGGCCUUUAACUCUCUGUGCUCCAGGGGCACUGUGCUCGCUGACCCUGCACCCUGACCCCAGGUUUCUAACAUUGCUAAGAUGUGUGAAGAAAGACUUUCACUCUGCUAUAAGGUACUUUUAACAAGUACAAAGCCUAUUUAACCUUUUUCUCUCUUUAACUACUGGACAUAAUAUACAGUAUAUACAUAAUAUUCUUUCUAGCUAAUGAGCACUAAUAGCUGUUCUAUCAUGCUGCUGAUGUGGAGAUCAUCAGAAGGGAUGUUAAUGGUGGCGCUGUUCAGGUUGACAAGCCACAGCAUCUGUGUCAGGGAGCACAGCUCUGUCUUAGAGGUACGACGCUCAAGUGUUUCCCACCUCCACCAAGUCCCAGGACAGAUGGUUCCAGCUGCAGCUGGCACAGUGUGGUGCAACACCUGAAAAGUGGAGCAAGGAGAAUAGAGAAUCUGAUUUCACUGAAACUGGAACUUGCUUCAAAGAAGACAGCUACUAUCCCCCACUGAUAGAGCUCAAGCUAAAGAAAACAGCAAGCAAAGGACAGAGGGCAGAGCGGUGCGUCUGCGGAACGCGUACAGAAGAGACGAUUUGGAAACUCGGCGCAAAAACGCUCUCUCUCUCUCUCCAAAACACACAUCCGCGUCGCGGUGUUUUCAUCUUUCUCAAACACUUCCGAACUACUGUUUCGCCUGUACUCGUGUUUUACCUGAUGUUUUAGAUCGGAGCUCCUUGAAAUUAUUAGUAUUUACAUAAUAGAGAUCAAAUAAAAGAUUCUUCAUUACAACGUUUCCGAACUUAUGCCAAAUGUUCUGAAUAACUUUCUUAAGCAAAUGGGUUUCACACCAAACUGAUUUUCCUGAAAAACAAAACCAUGUUUUUUUUUUUAAACGUAAAUAAAGGUUUUUGUUUUUUUGUUUUUUUACAAAGAAAAAGAGUUUCAUUCCAAUGUCCUGUAAAAUCCCCGCUAACAAUAAAUGAUUCCCUGCUAUUUCCCUGUAAUUGUGUAGCUACUGUACGCUAGAUGGCAGCCCGAUCCAGACAUUAUAAACCUGGAAAAGCCUGAACCAAAGCGCACGCUCCAGUAUUCAUGCACCAAAAAAGCCGGUAUGCUUUGCCAUUUCAGCACGAACUUCCGCCCUUAUUGGAUCAAUAAAACAACCCCGGUAAACAAUAGCAUUCAAAAAAAUCACCUUUUAAGUGUCAAAACAUGAGGUUUCGGCCCGUGUGUCUGAGGCUAUCGACCCCGAUUUUUUACUCCCUCUCUCUAUCAUGAUCUCGCAUCCCAUUAGCAACACACUGGACCAAACUGGAGCAGCUCGAGCGCAUCCCGGUACUUUUACUUCACCUUUUUUUGUUUUUGCACCGUUCAUUGAGAACUUGCACGGCGAACGUGUGAAUUUUAUUGCUGUGAUUUUGUGGCGUUGAGCGUUGAAAUGUUUUAUUUUUUGCUGCACACACACACACACACACACACACUGUUCACACAUCUUCUCCCUAGCUUGAUUGAGACUGCAGCUUUGUAACAAAGCGUCCCAGAAAACUUUCAGGGGCUCCGUCUCGAGCCCCCCGUUCGCGUUUAUUUUCGCGUGCGUUCUGCUCGCGCUCGGCUCGCGCUUUUCACCCGGCGCAACCGGGUUUUCUUCCUCUUUUUUUUUUUUUUU